AGCGAACGCUGGCGGCAGGCCUAACACAUGCAAGUCGAACGGUCCUUCGGGACAGUGGCGGACGGGUGAGUAACACGUGGGAACGUGCCUUUAGGUUCGGGACAACCCAGGGAAACUUGGGCUAAUACCGGAUGUGCCCUUCGGGGGAAAGGAUUUAUCGCCUUUAGAGCGGCCCGCGUCUGAUUAGCUUGUUGGUGAGGUAAUGGCUCACCAAGGCUACGAUCAGUAGCUGGUCUGAGAGGAUGAUCAGCCACACCGGGACUGAGACACGCCCAGACUCCUACGGGAGGCAGCAGUGGGGAAUCUUGCGCAAUGGGCGAAAGCCUGACGCAGCCAUGCCGCGUGG
rnacentral:rRNA from 1 species